GGGUGAAUGUGAAAUGAGUGAGCUGUAUCAAUUCUCUCUAGUCCUAUCUUCUUCUUCUUGUUCAAAUGGAAGAUGGUGGAAGAUGGAUGUGGGGACCUUGAAGUGUACUCUCUCUCUAUAUAUCUCUCUUUCUCUCUCUAUAUAUCUCUUUCUCACUCUCUACAAUCUUACUAUCGAUCUUCUUUGGGGUGAGGGAGAUCUGGAUUGCAACGAAUCAGUGGCCAACAAGUGGACCAGUCUUACCCAAAACGAUGCCGUUUUUUUCACAUGAAAGCCGUGCAAGAAAAUUCUAACCACAAAUUCAAAGGAGCAACACACAUCAUAUUUACCUGCCAGAAGGAAGUGAAGCACCCACAAAGUCUAAAGUGACAGGCCACAACAAGCAUGAUCAAUCAAGUGAAGUAUACACCUGGGACCCAAAAUCUAUACUCAAUUUGAAGAUCCCAGAGCCAUAGGAGGUUUCAUUAUGCAGGGAAGAACAACAAAUCUAUACUCAAUUUGAAGAUCCCAGAGCCAUAGGAGGAGGUUUCAUUAUGCAGAGAAGAACAACAAUCACUAAACCAAUCAAGCCAUUUGUGGGCGACAAGACGAAAAGUUGUGCAGACAAGAAGAAGAUUUGUGGGCGACAGACGAUAGACGAUAAAUCACAGACGAGAAGCACAAAUACCAAUGAAGCAGAGAAGCAAGCAGUAGUAGUAGUAGUGUAGUAGACACACCUCGACAUAAAAAAAGAAAAUGCAUCAAACUUUAUUAUUCGGAUGGAUGAUCUAUAUCUUAUCUAUUCUUAAAACUU